UGCUUCUGGAUGUUUGUGAUUCACCGACCAUUAAUAAAUGAGUUCGCAUCAUCUGAUGUUUUCUCCUAUUCGCAUACAGAUGGGUGAGAAAGGGGAAUCUAGUGGUAUGCAGUGGGACAUUCUGGUGGCUUGGUUUGCAUCCACUUAUUCUCUUAGAGGGAAAGAUCACUGCAAAUCUACACAAAGUUAAACAUUUACUACUGUUUUCCAGGAUUACAGUACCUCCCUCCAUAGGGUACAAGGGUCCACUGAGUAACUUGAUGAGCAUGAAAAUUAUUUAAAUAUGCUACUAUGCUAUGGCCUUCACAGACACCAGAUUCCAAUCCAAUUAAACACCUGUAGGAGACUUUGGACAAACUCAUGGUGUAUAUUUGAGAACACCUGCUCACACACUCUAUUAAGACACACCCACAAAGGAUAUUGAUAGACUGUAUGUUUAUAUGUAAGGCACAAGACAAGAUUAAUUUCAAAUUAAAAGACAAAUAAUUGUUAAAGUUGUCGACUCAGUACACUGUGGCCCUGAUUUAAAACCACAUGCAAGCUGAUUUACUACUGAAUGAAUUACUAGAAUUAUAUAGCUCAUGAAUAUGGAAUUGGACCAUUUUUUCCUAAUGGUGAAAAGUAGUGAUCAGAGUCUGGGCUAAAAGAUUAAUUUAUUACUAACAAUAUGACUAAUUUGAGUCACUUUGGGGAAUGGUGUUUGUGUGUUUAACACAAACACACAACCAUACUGUUCUGCUUUAUAUGCUUAAUUAUUAUUAAUGGUACUUGUGAAGCAAAGCAUCACUAUUGUUCUCUUGCAUACUUAUUAUUUAUUAUUUUGGCAACAUACUGAUCUACUAUUUUUAAGAUUAUUGUUAUUAUUAGUACUAGCUUUAUAGGUGCUUGUAAAGCAUAACUAUUGUUCUCUUGCAAUACUUCUUAUUAUUCUUCGCACCGUUUGUCAUAGUUCCAGGAAUGAGGUGUCAAAUCGAUCGACUUAUUGAGAGGUGUGCUAUGACUUUUAUAAGGCAUCAGUAUUCUGGAAUUCCUGAUAUGGAAGCUCAAAGUGGCCAAAAUUCUCAUUGAAAAUUUCUGACUUGAGCUUUCAUGCUACUUCCAAGAAACUCAGCACAGUCAGUCAUGUUAGCAGUGUGUCAAACAGGUAAAACAUGCUAGCAACAAGCUAAAUCAUGUUAGCAGUGUAUUAAAACAUGUUAAUUCAUGCUAGCAACAUGCUAAUUCUGUUAGAAAAAUGUUAGCAAUAUGUUAAAACAUGCUAAUUCAUGCUAGCAACAUGCUAAUUCUGUUAGAAAAAUGUUAGAAAUAUGUUAAAACAUGCUAAUUCAUGCUAGAAUCAUUUUAAACCAUUCUAACAAUAUGUUAAUUCAUGCUAGUGACAUGGUUAAUCAUGCUAGCCAAAUGAUAAUUCAUGCUAGCAAUGUGCUGAAACCUUCUAGCAACAUGCUAGUUCAUGCUAGCAACAUGCUAAGUCAUGUUGUCAGUGUUUUAAACAUGCUAAUUGACCCUAGCAUCCGCUUUGUAACCACCUGGAACACUCUAGCAACCGCCUAGCAACCACCCAGAACUCCGUAGCAACCACCUAGCAACGGCAUAGCAACCACCCAGAACACCCUAGCAGCCACCUAGCAACACCCUAGCAACCACCCAUAACACCCUAGCAACCACCCAUAACACCCUAGCAAACAUUUAGAGCACCCUCGCAACCGUAUAACAUCUUGAAUUAGCCAUUUUUCACCACCAGGACAUUAUACAGACUUAAGGUUUGGCUCUCUUGCAGUCACUUGCAUCACAAUAGCGACUGCCCAGUGCCGAGUUUUAUUAUGGCAAGCACCACUGACCUUUUCUUCAGGAAAUGUGUAUGUCUAGUUAUUCUUCUGAAGAUUUAAAAAAAUAAAUAAA